rnacentral:rRNA from 1 species
UGGGGAAUUUUGCACAAUGGGGGAAACCCUGAUGCAGCGACGCCGCGUGAUUUAGAAGGCCUUCGGGUUGUAAAAAUCUUUUCCAUGGGAAGAAAAUGACAGUACCAUAGGAAUAAGGACCGGCUAAUUACGUGCCAGCAGCCGCGGUAAUACGUAAGGUCCGAGCGUUGUCCGGAAUCAUGGGGCGUAAAGGGUACGUAGGCGGGUAAGCAAGUUAGAAGUGAAAUCCUAUAGCUCAACUAUAGUAAGCUUUUAAAACUGCUCGUCUUGAGGUAUGGAAGGGAAAGUAGAAUUCCUAGUGUAGCGGUGAAAUGCGCAGAUAUUAGGAGGAAUACCGGUGGCGAAGGAGACUUACUGGCCAUAACCUGACGCUGAGGUACGAAAGCGUGGGUAGCAACCAGG